UUAGUCGGUUCACCUACUAACAAAGCUGCUAGUUAUUUCAUAAUUCAAGAUAGACACUAAUGAGGAGCGCUUCGCGGUCUUUCUGGAUGUUCUAAAUGCUCUUGCCCUGAGCUGCUUUAAUGCUGGUUCAACGUCACGCACACACGUUGCAGCUGGAAACUCCACGUGGAUCAGGGGUUUGUGUGUUUGAGGAGAGACUGGUGACAGACAUAGAGUCCAGCAAGUGGUCAUGGCCCAGAACUAAACUGGAAGAGCAUGAGGUUGUCAUGCCUUUUAACAAACGCGUGGUGCUGCAGCUCCCGGGAUAAUGAGAUGAAAGAUGGGCAAAAACAAGAGGCCUAACUGUGACAAGCUGCUGAAAGGACCCUGAAAGAACAAAGUCAAAAGGGACAGACUAUUUGAAUGCCAAAUGCUCUUUGUUUUUUGAAAGCAGUGAUUGCUACAUGGUUUUCCAUUCCUAAAAAUGUCCUAAAUUCCAGCACAACAAAAAAUUCUACAGGAGUUCCAGAAAUGCCUGAUUGUUUCCAUUCUGGGAAAAUUUUUUCUGGGUACCAAGCUCCCUCUACUCCCCGACCCAAACCAGGUAUCUCCUGACCCACUGACAGAAGGGAGAACAAGAGCUUCUGUUGGUGGAGGGAGUGGCGACCCUCCUCCGGGAAGUAAACAGAAUCCCAGCUCUGGUUUCCCCCAGGAUAAACUCAAGACGCGGCUCCCACCAGGAAGGCUCACCCGUGAUUUAACUGGAGGCCCUGGCAGCCAAACAGAGGAAGACGCAGCUUAACGCUUCUACAAGUUAUUCCUUUAGAACUCAAAACUCACCAGCAGCCUGAGCCGGAUUUAAAGCCACGCAGUUGAAGAGGGUGUGGACAACUUGGAGAAAGCUCCAAACCCAUAAAAGUGACUUCAGGAUUAGAGGCCCAGAGGACAAGUUCUCUGAGGAAGUUCUAAGGGAACCGGCUGCUCAGCCAGGGGAACAGCAACUCUGGUAAUUUAUUGAUGCUUCUUUAGAGGUACAAAGAAAAUGGCAGCCAGAUGCUCCCCACUACCAUGAGGACAGGGAAAGAGAAAGUCGGUUUGCUACAAGGAAGGAAUUUGUUUCUGGGAAGGCCUUUGGAAACAGGUUAGGCAUUACCAGAAAGAUAAGUCCAGACAACUAGAUAUCCUCUCAAGGUGAUUCAAGACUUGGUCGCAAACUGUUGAAUCACUAUGUCACUUACCUGAAACUAAUAGACUAUUAUGUCAACUGCCCUUCAGUUAAAGAAAGAACAUGUUUUGCCCAACAACGGUUGUUACAGCAGAUGAAGAUUCUGGCAUCAUCUGUUUGCUAAAUAACUGUGAAAGUACCACACGAGCAAUUCUUUCCAGUGGCUUUAGGAAGCUUUGAACCACUGAAUUGCCUGGCUGUAGUUUAAAUUCUCAAAUUGCAGAGCAGUUACCUCUGGGAUUAUGAAAUACAUACAUUUUAAUAAUUAGUACACCAUCAGAAGGCACUGUUGGGUAGGAAAUAAAGUGGGAAAGCCAGUUACAUUUUCAAUAUUAGCAUCCCCAAAUUUUAGAUUAGAUCUCCAUCCCAAACUCUUAAAUGAAAAAACUGACAUACAGAGAUGCCAAUUAUUUUAAAUCUCUAUUUUUUAGAGAAAGAUCUAUUCACAUAAUUUUUGGUCACAAAUAAGUUUAAAAAAACAUUUUUAAAGCAAGUUGAACUGAAAAUUCUCUCUGACAGAGUAGCUGUGACAGAGAGUGUAUGGCCCUCCAAGUCUCAAUUAUUUGCUAUCUGGCCCUUCACAGGCCGUUCACUAGCUCUUGGAUUCGAUAAUUUUUUAGGUACUGUUUCCUAAACUUCUUUAAGGUAAGAAUCCCCUGGAGGACUUGUUAAAAUGCAGAUUACCAGGCUCUGGCCCUGGAAGUUCUGGCUCAUGGAUCUGGCACUGGAGUCCAGCCUGCUUUAUUAUUUUUUUUUACCAACACUGUCACCUUCAGGCAAAGGUACGCUGAGGGCCCUUCAAGCUCUAAAUUGUAUAAAUACAUUACCAAGUUCAUCUUUCCCUUUGGCUUUAUCUUUCUAAUGAUGUUUAUUUUGAUAAGCACACUAUCGGUCUGGGUAUGAGGACCAAGGUGGAACUGGGGACGGUAGUUAAAAC